GAGUUUGAUCUUGGCUCAGGAUGAACGCUAGCGGCAGGCCUAAUACAUGCAAGUCGAGGGGCAGCACGGGUAGCAAUACCUGGUGGCGACCGGCGCACGGGUGCGUAACACGUAUACAAUCUGCCUUUAACAGGGGGAUAGCCCGGAGAAAAUCCGGAUUAAAUACCCCAUAACAAUAGAAGAAGCAUUUCUUUUAUUUGAAAGCUCCGGCGGUUAAAGAUGAGUAUGCGUCUGAUUAGCUAGUUGGUGAGGUAACGGCUCACCAAGGCGACGAUCAGUAGGGGAUCUGAGAGGACUACCCCCCACACGGAUACUGAGACACGGAUCCGACUCCUACGGGAGGCAGCAGUAAGGAAUAUUGGACAAUGCCCGCAAGGGUGAAUCCAGCCAUGCCGCGUGCAGGAAGACGGCCCU
rnacentral:rRNA from 1 species